rfam:Penicillium camemberti str. FM013
UUCGAUAUGGGGUAGUGGUUAACCUAGCGGAUUUUCAUUAUAUGACCUCCGCGGCCCCGGGUUCGAUUCCCGGUAUCGAAG